AUUUGAAAUAGCCUAGGGUGUCUACUUUCCAAAAAUAUAUGGUUUGGUGGGGGUAAAAUACAUUGGCCAGCCUUACAAAUUUCCCAAAUAGGACAUGUGCACAGGUUGACUACAUGUCAAAAUUCCAAGUUGGAAAAUGGAUAUGCGCACCUGCCAAAUGUGGCCUUUUAGCUGCCAAACAACUCAACAAGCCUAUGCAUGGGUGGUAUCACUGUACUCGGGAGAUGUUGCUGAACAUAUAUUAGUGUGUUUUUUGGCAGCAAGACAUAACAGGAUCUGUAUGUUUAUACCUGAAUUGCAAUGUAUGUGAAAAAAAAAUAAAAAAUACCUAUGCAAAGUUUGGCAAAGACUAGUGGUAAAAUGGCUGCAUAGAAAGAG